AUUGAACGCUGGCGGCAGGCCUAACACAUGCAAGUCGAACGAGUGGCGGACGGGUGAGUAAUGUCUGGGAAACUGCCUGAUGGAGGGGAUAAACUCUGGAAACGGUAGGUUAAAACCCAUACCUCCAGAGUUGCCACGAUGGGCUUAGCUGGUUGGUGGGGUAACGGCUCACAAAGGCGACGAUCCCUAGCUGGUCUGAGAGGAUGACCAGCCACACGGGAACUGAGACACGGUCCAGACUCCUACGGGAGGCAGCAGUGGGGAAUAUUGCACAAUGGGCGCAAGCCUGAUGCAGCCAUGCCGCGUGUAUGAAGAAGGCCUUCGGGUUGUAAAGUACGUUCAGCGGGGAGGCGUUACCCGCAGAAGAAGCAUCGGCUAACUCCGUGCCAGCAGCCGCGGUAAUAC
rnacentral:rRNA from 1 species